GAUGAACGCUGGCGGCGUGCCUAAUACAUGCAAGUCGAGCGAACAGACGAGGAGCUUACUCCUCUGACGUUAGCGGCGGACGGGUGAGUAACACGUGGAUAACCUACCUAUAAGACUGGGAUAACUUCGGGAAACCGGAGCUAAUACCGGAUAACAUGUUGAACCGCAUGGCUCAACAGUGGAAGACGGUCUUGCUGUCACUUAUAGAUGGAUCCGCGUCGCAUUAGCUAGUUGGUAAGGUAACGGCUUACCAAGGCAACGAUGCGUAGCCGACCUGAGAGGGUGAUCGGCCACACUGGAACUGAGACACGGUCCAGACUCCUACGGGAGGCAGCAGUAGGGAAUCUUCCGCAAUGGGCGAAAGCCUGACGGAGCAACGCCGCGUGAGUGAAGAAGGUCUUCGGAUCGUAAAACUCUGUUAUUAGGGAAGAACAAAUGUGUAAGUAACUAUGCACGUCUUGACGGUACCUAAUCAGAAAGCCACGGCUAACUACGUG
rnacentral:rRNA from 1 species